GGGGGUUGUAAAAGGCUGUAUUUUGAAAUGGAAAGCAAUGAAAUGAUGUUGGAACUCGUGAGAUUUUCUCCCAUUUUCUGCAAACUUGGGGUGAGUCGAAGUUGGUGUGAAUCCAAGCCCCCUUUCUCUUCCCUAACUCUUCUCUCUUAGGCUACUACCCUUUUCCUCUCCCCUAUUCCUUUUCUACCGGUCCCGAUUUUCCCACUUUUACCUUAAAUUAUAGCUUCAAAUGCAAUGGAGAUUCAUCAAUUAACACCAAGGAGGCACCACAAACAAAGUCUUGCAGUUUUGUAGUGACUCAGGACUUGAAAACACCAUUCCAACUCGUGAGACGGCAAAGGAAGCCAGACCCAGCGGAAGGAAAGAGAACAAAAGGAUAGCAGGACACCAACUCCCAGAGGAAGAAAAGUAUCUUUGAUGCAGCACCAACAAAGGUCUACACGAGAAGGACCAAGAAGGUCGACCCAAGUAGCUGACUGGGUAGACCAGAUCUGGUCUUAGAUAGCCCACGAUUUGGGCUACUGAUGGGGAGGGGGGAUAUUAGAUAUUAUUUAGUUGCUAAUUUAGCCAUAUAUUUAGUUUCUAAGUCAUGUCCUAAGUAGUUUCUAAUUUCAGUUUCAGAUCUAGUUUCCUUUUUAUAGUUUCAGUUUUAGUAACUUCAUGCAACUAGUUUUUAGUAACUCAAUCUUUGUUAGUUUCUAAAAUCUGAGUUACUAUUAUUUGUAAUCCUCCCCAUCAUUAUUAUAAAUAAAGAGCAGGGCAGCAAUAUAGCCCAUGAUUUUUAUGAACAAAAAAAUAUGCUGCUGUUGCUGCUUCUCCCUGUGAGGAUACUUUGUGUUUGAUCAAAGUGUGGGUUGGUGUGUGAUCCGACGACUCCUUGCGACGUGAAGUCCAGGAGGUUUUCUUCAGGCUCUAUUAUUCUCUUUAAGAUAUUCUCUAUUCUCAAGGAUUAACACUGCUGCAAUCAGGUAUGUUCCAUUCUGUUCCUGCCCAGAAUUUCUGCAAAACAGAGCAAUCGGCCCUGCUGGAAGAACCAGAUUUGGUUGUCGGAUUGACCCAGUUUUUUUGGUCAAGUGUUCCCUAUUGUCUAAGUAGGGUUCAACCCAAAUUUUUUCUGGUUCUGUCCAGUCAGUUGUGAGUUAUUAAAAAUCACCGAAUCCUCGUCUUUCAGUGACCUGCUGUGUCCAGAAUUGAAAUCGAUUGCUGUACUGCUGUUAUACUAUUGUCUUAGGACUGUGGAUCAUUAUUACUGUUGAUUUGGACCUCUAAGAGUCAAAUGAAGCUCCUGGUUAUGUUUAUUUAA